UACAGAGGUCUCAAGCGUUGUUCGGAUUCAUUGGGCGUAAAGGGUGCGUAGGCGGCGCGGUAAGUCGGGUGUGAAAUCUUGGAGCUUAACUCCGAAACUGCAUUCGAUACUGCCGUGCUUGAGGACUGGAGAGGAGACUGGAAUUUACGGUGUAGCGGUGAAAUGCGUAGAUAUCGUAAGGAACACCAGUGGCGAAGGCGGGUCUCUGGACAGUUCCUGACACUGAGGCACGAAGUCCAGGGGAGCAAACUUG
rnacentral:rRNA from 1 species